GCUCAGNUCGAACGCUGGCGGCAGGCUUAACACAUGCAAGUCGAGCGGGCAUAGCAAUAUGUCAGCGGCAGCACGGGAGAGUAACGCGUGGGAACGUANUUUUGGNUCGGAACAACUGAGGGAAACUUCAGCUAAUACCGGAUAAGCCCUUACGGGGAAAGAUUUAUCGUCGAAAGGAUCGGUCCCGCGUNUGAUUAGCUANUUNGUGAGGUAAUGGCUCACCAAGGCGACGAUCAGNAGCUGGUCUGAGAGGAUGANCAGNCACAUUGGGACUGCNACACGGUCCAAACUCCNACGGGAGGCAGCACU
rnacentral:rRNA from 1 species